rnacentral:tRNA from 1 species
AUUUUAUUAUUAUUAACGAUUGAAAUAAAAAUAAAAAAUGGGAAAUCUAAAUGAUGAAUCCAAAAUUUUUAUG